rnacentral:lncRNA from 1 species
CUAGGACACAUAUACAAGAUAUCUUCUGGGAUUAACCCAGGAAUGGACUUAGUAUGUUCUCAAUUAUAAACAAUUUCAGCUUUGAUAGACUUUGAAAUAAGAAUGCUGUGGCCAUUAGAAGAAUGGACAACCUCCUUCUUGACAAGUUUUUCACAUUUCUGCAAAUAACAUUUUCAUUCUCCCAAAUUCAAUUUUCACUUCUUCAUUUUCUGUACUGCUUUGCACAGGAAGAGAUAGCUGUUAAAGAAGAUCAUUCUACUUGGAGCCACUCUUAUGACCACAGGUGUAUAAACAGGACAGUGAGGGCAGCAUCACCAGUUCACCUGUGGUUUGGAAGCAUCUACCUUAACUAA